rnacentral:pre_miRNA from 1 species
GCUGGGAAGAGGAAGAAAGAGAAAACUCAAGAACACUGGGCAUGGGAACAUGUAAGAAACCCCUGCUUGUUUGUUUGCACCUCUACUGUUUGAGGUUCAAAUAUUUUCCAUGGAUCCUUUCCCGAUGUCUCCCAUUCCUACCGUUCUCGUGCACCCCUUCCUCUUCCUUUUGGCU